GUUUUAAACACCUAAGCUGAAGUAUCACUGUUCUUUGUACUCAUUCAGCUCAUUCUGCUUUUACUUCUCUUUAACAGUCUUACCUGAGAAUGGAGUGGAGAAUAGGGUAUAUGGUAAAAAUGGUGACAUCGUUCUUCUGGGCGUGACACCAUGUGGUCCUGAAGGGAGAGACAACUUCUACUGCUACAUUCCAGAUGAAACUGCAGCUUGUAAGGGGUUGUCAUCCUGUUCAACGAACUAAAAUGAUGACCACUUGUAAACUGGAACAUUUACACACUUGAAUAUUUUAACUGUACAAGAAAAAUGUUCAGAAUUUUGUUUUUGUUUCUCUGGCAAAGAUGUUGUAAAUAGAUAUAAAUAUCCAUGGCAAAAUCUCAAAUGUGCUAUUAAAUGUAAAAGGCAAUAGGGUAAAAUUUAAGAGAUUUUCCAGUGUCUCACACAGUAGGCGUGUGGAGCCACCUUAAUUCAGCUCACUACCACAGUGUUUACAGCUCCUGCCUGUUAUCCGUCACUGUCAGUGAUCAACAGCAAAGUGAAGAAAGUGUGAGAUCAACAUGAUCAGCCGGAGAACCUUUCUAGCGAUACGAAAUUAGGGAUGAAAUAAGUUGCAUUUACUUUGUUUUUU
rnacentral:lncRNA from 1 species